AUUGAACGCUGGCGCCAGGCUUAACACAUGCAAGUCGAGCGGAGAUGAGGUGCUUGCACCUUAUCUUAGCGGCGGACGGGUGAGUAAUGCUUAGGAAUCUGCCUAUUAGUGGGGGACAACAUUCCGAAAGGAAUGCUAAUACCGCAUACGCUCUACGGGGGAAAGCAGGGGAUCUUCGGACCUCGCGCUAAUAGAUGAGCCUAAGUCGGAUUAGCUAGUUGGUGGGGUAAAGGCCUACCAAGGCGACGAUCUGUAGCGGGUCUGAGAGGAUGAUCCGCCACACUGGGACUGAGACACGGCCCAGACUCCUACGGGAGGCAGCAGUGGGGAAUAUUGGACAAUGGGCGGAAGCCUGAUCCAGCCAUGCCGCGUGUGUGAAGAAGGCCUUUUGGUUGUAAAGCACUUUAAGCGAGGAGGAGGCUACCUGGAUUAAUACUCUAGGAUAGUGGACGUUACUCGCAGAAUAAGCACCGGCUAACUCUGUGCCAGCAGCCGCCGUAACAC
rnacentral:rRNA from 1 species